rnacentral:rRNA from 1 species
CUACGGGUCGCAGCAGUAGGGAAUAUUGCGCAAUGGGCGAAAGCCUGACGCAGCGACGCCGCGUGAGUGAUGAAGGUCCUCUGGAUUGUAAAGCUCUGUAAGGAGGGAAGAACCGCCUGGUGUAACGGCCAGGUCUGACGGUACCUCCAAAGUAAGCACCGGCUAAAUAAGUGCCAGCAGCCGCGGUAAUACUUAUGGUGCGAGCGUUGUCCGGAAUGACUGGGCGUAAAGGGUGCGUAGGCGGACUUUCAAGUCAGGUGUGAAAUCCCCGGGCUUAACCUGGGAACUGCGCUUGAAACUGGAAGUCUAGAGUAUGUGAGGGGUUAGCGGAAUUCCCGGAGUAGCGGUGAAAUGCGUGGAGAUCGGGAAGAACACCGGUGGCGAAGGCGGCUAACUGGCACAUGACUGACGCUGAGGCACGAAAGCGUGGGGAGCGAACGGGAUUAGAUACCCCGGUAGUC